rnacentral:miRNA from 1 species
ACUGAAGCUGACGAGUUAACUGCCGG